GAUGAACGCUGGCGGCGUGCCUAAUACAUGCAAGUCGAGCGAACAGACGAGGAGCUUGCUCCUCUGACGUUAGCGGCGGACGGGUGAGUAACACGUGGGUAACCUACCUAUAAGACUGGGAUAACUCCGGGAAACCGGGGCUAAUACCGGAUAACACAUGAAACCGCAUGGUUUCAUGAUGAAAGACGGUUUUGCUGUCACUUAUAGAUGGACCCGCGGCGUAUUAGCUAGUUGGUAAGGUAACGGCUUACCAAGGCAACGAUACGUAGCCGACCUGAGAGGGUGAUCGGCCACACUGGAACUGAGACACGGUCCAG
rnacentral:rRNA from 1 species